rnacentral:rRNA from 1 species
AUUGAACGCUGGCGGCAGGCCUAACACAUGCAAGUCGAGCGGAUGAAGGGAGCUUGCUCCUGGAUUCAGCGGCGGACGGGUGAGUAAUGCCUAGGAAUCUGCCUGGUAGUGGGGGAUAACGUCCAGAAACGGGCGCUAAUACCGCAUACGUCCUGAGGGAGAAAGUGGGGGAUCUUCGGACCUCACGCUAUCAGAUGAGCCUAGGUCGGAUUAGCUAGUUGGUGGGGUAAAGGCCUACCAAGGCGACGAUCCGUAACUGGUCUGAGAGGAUGAUCAGACACACUGGAACUGAGACACGGUCCAGACUCCUACGGGAGGCAGCAGUGGGGAAUAUUGGACAAUGGGCGAAAGCCUGAUCCAGCCAUGCCGCGUGUGUGAAGAAGGUCUUCGGAUUGUAAAGCACUUUAAGUUGGGAGGAAGGGCAGUAAGUUAAUACCUUGCUGUUUUGACGUUACCAACAGAAUAAGCACCGGCUACUUCGUG